AUUGAACGCUGGCGGCAGGCCUAACACAUGCAGGUCGAACGGUAACAGGAAGAAGCUUGCUUCUUUGCUGACGAGUGGCGGACGGGUGAGUAAUGUCUGGGAAACUGCCUGAUGGAGGGGGAUAACUACUGGAAACGGUAGCUAAUACCGCAUAACGUCGCAAGACCAAAGAGGGGGACCUUCGGGCCUCUUGCCAUCGGAUGUGCCCAGAUGGGAUUAGCUAGUAGGUGGGGUAACGGCUCACCUAGGCGACGAUCCCUAGCUGGUCUGAGAGGAUGACCGGCCACAAGGGAAUGGAAAAACGGUCCAGACCACGAAGGGAGGGAGCAGGGGGGAAUUUUGCGAAAGGGGGGGAAGCUUGAAGGAGCAAAGCCGGGGGAGGGAAGAAGGGCUUGGGGUUGGAAAACUAUUUUAGGGGGGAAGAAGGAAGGUGAAAUUAACUAUGUACCUAUUGACGGUACCCAAUAAGAAAGCCACGGCUAACCACGUG
rnacentral:rRNA from 1 species